CCUACGGGCGGGCAGCAGUGAGGAAUAUUGGUCAAUGGACGAGAUUCUGAACCAGCAAAGUAGCGUGAAGGAUGACUGCCCUUUGGGUGGUAAACUUCUUUUAUAUGGGAAUAAACUGUUCCCCGUGUGGUUUUUUGUAUGUACCAUCUGAAUAAGGAUCGGCUAACUCCGUCCCAGCAGCCGCGGUAAUACGGAGGAUCCGAGCGUUAUCCGGAUUUAUUGGGUUUAAGGGUGGCUUAGGUGGAUUGUUAAGUCAGUUGUGAAAGUUUGCGGCUCAACCGUAAAAUUGCAGUUGAAACUGGCAGUCUUGAGUACAGUAGAGGUGGGCGGAAUUCGUGGUGUAGCGGUGAAAUGCUUAGAUAUCACGAAGAACUCCGAUUGCGAAGGCAGCUCACUGGACUGCAACUGACACUGAGGCUCGAAAGUGUGGGUAUCAAACAGGAUUAGAUACCCGAGUAGUC
rnacentral:rRNA from 1 species